rnacentral:rRNA from 1 species
CUUGACGUUACCUACAGAAGAAGCACUGGCUAACUCUGUGCCAGCAGCCGCGGUAAUACAGAGAGUGCAAGCGUUAAUCGGAAUUACUGGGCGUAAAGCGCGCGUAGGUGGAUACUUAAGUCGGAUGUGAAAGCCCUGGGCUUAACCUGGGAAUUGCACCCGAUACUGGGUAUCUCGAGUAUGGUAGAGGGAAGUGGAAUUUCCGGUGUAGCGGUGAAAUGCGUAGAUAUCGGAAAGAACACCAGUGGCGAAGGCGGCUUCCUGGACCAAUACUGACACUGAGGUGCGAAAGCGUGGGGAGCAAACAGGAUUAGAGACCCUGGUAGUCCACGCCGUCAACGAUGAGAACUAGCUGUUGGAGAGUUUACUUUCUAGUAGCGAAGCUAACGCGUUAAGUUCUCCGCCUGGGGAGUACGGCCGCAAGGUUAAAACUCAAAGAAAUUGACGGGGGCCCGCACAAGCGGUGGAGCAUGUGGUUUAAUUCGAUGCAACGCGAAAAACCUUACCUAC